GUGAAGCUUUCUUUGUUUUUGCGAAAAAUGUGAAAAAGGGGAAUGCGUGCAUAAUUCAUACAAUUGAUAUUCGGAAGUGUUAAGGAACAUGUCAGUUGUUUUCGUAUUCACGACAUCCAGUAAUGUCUCUGACAUUACCCACCCGCCUUUUUAGUUUGCUGAAUGUUCCUGCUUAUUUUGCCGAAUUGUUGUAAACUUGUAUAAAUAUGUAUCAAAUGUGAAGUUAAGUGCUUGUGUUGAACCCGCCAUUUUGCAAGUUGGAUUUCAAAAUUUUCUGAAUGGAUAAAAUCUUAAACAUCAUUGGGGAUUGUAAUGCAGAAGCAAUGCAAAUGCUUGGUAAGCUAUGCUUGCUGUUUAAAACUUCUUUUUGUACCUGAUAGUUUUUAUAGACGACACCAUAUCUUGUUUUUUCUGUCGUCCCCUUAUUCCGGAAUAUGUCGAAGGCCUGGGCCAGCACAUUAAAGAUGAUUUUCUGCGAACGCUUUUCAUCAUUCGUCAGAAGAGAUCAAGUCGAGGAGCUAGGAGAGCUCGUGAUGAGAAUCCCGCGAAAGAAAAUUUGUUAAAGGAUUCAUAAAAUGGAUAAAGCCGGAAGAUGCAUACCUCACCAAAAGUAUUGUUCCUCUUGUCUAUGUGAAGGGAUUUUUUUUCAGACAUAGGCUCUAGUGCUGCAAUAUCAUGGAAGCAGCAUUCAAUUAUGUUGGAGCCAGAUUAAAGGAAGUGACAAGCAGUUUUAUGUUUUUGUAUCAUACAACUUACUUGGACUCGGACAUCUAACAACGACUGGCGAGUGAUUAAUGCAAACUGUUCAGUGAUUGAUUCUUUUGUAAAUUACAUUGAUUCAAACCUUAAAGAAAAAGUACGGGUGUGUAAUGUCAGAGACAUAACUGGAUGUCGUGAAUACGAAAAAAACUGACACACUUUCUUUAUACUUCCGAAUUCGAAUUGUUAGUUGAUCGAUUGUGUGAAUUGUGCAACUUUCCCCUUUUUCACUACUAAAAUUUCAAACGAUGCACCUAGACUAAAUUACAGAUUAGUUACAUUAAUCAUUCUGAAACGCAAUUAAAUAUAAUGAAAUAACUAGAUAGUUCUUUAUAAUAAAAAUGGACCGUAUAGAGUACAGUAAAGCAAAAU